GGGGUUGUGGCUCAGCAAUAGAGCAUUCACCUCGCACGUACAAGGCCCUGGGUUCGAUCCUCAGAACCACA
rnacentral:tRNA from 1 species